AGCAGCCGCGGUAAUUCCAGCUCCAAUAGCGUAUAUUAAAGUUGUUGCAGUUAAAAGCUCGUAGUUGAAUUUCGGGAUCAAUACGUCGGUCGUGCCUUCGGUACGUACUGGCGUCAUUGGUUUCUCCCUUCUGACGAACCAUGAUGUCAUUAAUUUGGUGUUAUGGGAAGUUAGGACUGUUACUUUGAAAAUUAGAGUGUUUAAAGCAGGCAUUAGCUUGAAUACAUUAGCAUGGAAUAAUGAAAUAGGACGUUCGAACCUAUUUUGUUGGUUUCUAGGAUCAACGUAAUGAUUAAUAGGGAUAGUUGGGGGCAUUAGUAUUCAAUUGUCAGAGGUGAAAUUCUUGGAUUUAUUGAAGACUAACUACUGCGAAAGCAUUUGCCAAGGAUGUUUUCAUUAAUCAAGAACGAAAGUUAGGGGAUCGAAGACGAUCAGAUACCGUCGUAGUCUUAACCAUAAACUAUGCCGACUAGGGAUCGGAUGAUGUUAAUUUUUAAUGACUCAUUCGGCGCCUUACGGG
rnacentral:rRNA from 1 species